UUUACUUCUGCUCAGCAAAUAAAGCUGCAUUUUUGAGUCAAGUUCCCAUUUUGAGCUCUAUCCAGGAGAAAGGCACUGCUGCCAAGAGCACGAUGAAAGGCUGCAUAAUUUUGUCUCCCGGAUUAUAAACCACUCCGCCUGUUCCUUUGUCUCUCUUCCCUGAGGUCUGGUGUGUGAGCAGGUAAGUCUUACUACAGCUAUGAGGUCAUGCAACCGGCUUCGACUGGAUCUCUGGCUAGCACACCUGCUCUCCCUCGGCUUAUCAGCCAGCUGCAUAUUUAAGAGUCGUUCACUCAACAUCAGGUUAUACUGCUUCAGUAGUGCUAACAGCUUCCAGCCCAGCUUAGUGUCUUUGCGUCUGGUCUCCUCUUUAAUAUUCUCCAGUGGGCUCAGCUCUGGAACAGCCCCCUCUGCUGCACUCCAUCCAUCAUCAUCAACAAAGUUCUCCCACUAGUUUUGUUCUUCAUCUGUAUGCUAAACGAUUCCAGUAACUUGUCACAUAAUUGUUAUAGGGUAACUGUCUGUUCAUGACUUUGUAAACUAUCUAAACCUUCACUGUCACAUUUGCAGGUAGAAAAAAGCAAUAUCACCUGCUCUAUAAGAUUUUGCCACAGAAUGUAUUGCUAUAAUGUGUUAAGUGUAUUUUUAAUUC